GGUUAAGCGACUAAGCGUACACGGUGGAUGCCCUGGCAGUCAGAGGCGAUGAAGGGCGUGCUAAUCUGCGAUAAGCGCCGGUAAGGUGAUAUGAACCGUUAUAACCGGCGAUACCCGAAUGGGGAAACCCAGUGUGAUUCGUCACACUAUCAUUAACUGAAUCCAUAGGUUAAUGAGGCGAACCGGGGGAACUGAAACAUCUAAGUACCCCGAGGAAAAGAAAUCAACCGAGAUUCCCCCAGUAGCGGCGAGCGAACGGGGAGGAGCCCAGAGCCUGAAUCAGCAUGUGUGUUAGUGGAAGCGUCUGGAAAGUCGCGCGAUACAGGGUGACAGCCCCGUACACAAAAGCGCAUGUGUUGUGAGCUCGAUGAGUAGGGCGGGACACGUGGUAUCCUGUCUGAAUAUGGGGGGACCAUCCUCCAAGGCUAAAUACUCCUGACUGACCGAUAGUGAACCAGUACCGUGAGGGAAAGGCGAAAAGAACCCCGGCGAGGGGAGUGAAAAAGAACCUGAAACCGUGUACGUACAAGCAGUGGGAGCACCCUUCGGGGUGUGACUGCGUACCUUUUGUAUAAUGGGUCAGCGACUUAUAUUCUGUAGCAAGGUUAACCGUAUAGGGGAGCCGGAGGGAAACCGAGUCUUAAUUGGGCGUUAAGUUGCAGGGUAUAGACCCGAAACCCGGUGAUCUAGCCAUGGGCAGGUUGAAGGUUGGGUAACACUAACUGGAGGACCGAACCGACUAAUGUUGAAAAAUUAGCGGAUGACCUGUGGCUGGGGGUGAAAGGCCAAUCAAACCGGGAGAUAGCUGGUUCUCCCCGAAAGCUAUUUAGGUAGCGCCUCGUGAAUUCAUCUCCGGGGGUAGAGCACUGUUUCGGCUAGGGGGCCAUCCCGGCUUACCAACCCGAUGCAAACUGCGAAUACCGGAGAAUGUUAUCACGGGAGACACACGGCGGGUGCUAACGUCCGUCGUGAAGAGGGAAACAACCCAGACCGCCAGCUAAGGUCCCAAAGUCAUGGUUAAGUGGGAAACGAUGUGGGAAGGCCCAGACAGCCAGGAUGUUGGCUUAGAAGCAGCCAUCAUUUAAAGAAAGCGUAAUAGCUCACUGGUCGAGUCGGCCUGCGCGGAAGAUGUAACGGGGCUAAACCAUGCACCGAAGCUGCGGCAGCGAACGUAUCACCCAAGACAACUUUACGGAGUUGACGAUUGACGGAGCGAAGCGACGUCAAAGCGUUCAUUAAAGUCGAGUUGGCUUAGGGAUACGUUCGUUGGGUAGGGGAGCGUUCUGUAAGCCGUUGAAGGUGGCCUGUGAGGGUUGCUGGAGGUAUCAGAAGUGCGAAUGCUGACAUAAGUAACGAUAAAGCGGGUGAAAAGCCCGCUCGCCGGAAGACCAAGGGUUCCUGUCCAACGUUAAUCGGGGCAGGGUGAGUCGACCCCUAAGGCGAGGCCGAAAGGCGUAGUCGAUGGGAAACGGGUUAAUAUUCCCGUACUUGGUGUUACUGCGAAGGGGGGACGGAGAAGGCUAUGUUGGCCGGGCGACGGUUGUCCCGGUUUAAGCGUGUAGGUGUGUGUUCCAGGUAAAUCCGGUUCACUUUAACACUGAGGCGUGACGACGAGGCACUACGGUGCUGAAGCAACAAAUGCCCUGCUUCCAGGAAAAGCCUCUAAGCAUCAGGUAACAUCAAAUCGUACCCCAAACCGACACAGGUGGUCAGGUAGAGAAUACCAAGGCGCUUGAGAGAACUCGGGUGAAGGAACUAGGCAAAAUGGUGCCGUAACUUCGGGAGAAGGCACGCUGACACGUAGGUGAAGUGAUUUACUCAUGGAGCUGAAGUCAGUCGAAGAUACCAGCUGGCUGCAACUGUUUAUUAAAAACACAGCACUGUGCAAACACGAAAGUGGACGUAUACGGUGUGACGCCUGCCCGGUGCCGGAAGGUUAAUUGAUGGGGUCAGCGCAAGCGAAGCUCCUGAUCGAAGCCCCGGUAAACGGCGGCCGUAACUAUAACGGUCCUAAGGUAGCGAAAUUCCUUGUCGGGUAAGUUCCGACCUGCACGAAUGGCGUAAUGAUGGCCAGGCUGUCUCCACCCGAGACUCAGUGAAAUUGAACUCGCUGUGAAGAUGCAGUGUACCCGCGGCAAGACGGAAAGACCCCGUGAACCUUUACUAUAGCUUGACACUGAACAUUGAGCCUUGAUGUGUAGGAUAGGUGGGAGGCUUUGAAGCGUGGACGCCAGUCUGCGUGGAGCCGACCUUGAAAUACCACCCUUUAAUGUUUGAUGUUCUAACGUGGACCCGUAAUCCGGGUUGCGGACAGUGUCUGGUGGGUAGUUUGACUGGGGCGGUCUCCUCCUAAAGAGUAACGGAGGAGCACGAAGGUUGGCUAAUCCUGGUCGGACAUCAGGAGGUUAGUGCAAUGGCAUAAGCCAGCUUGACUGCGAGCGUGACGGCGCGAGCAGGUGCGAAAGCAGGUCAUAGUGAUCCGGUGGUUCUGAAUGGAAGGGCCAUCGCUCAACGGAUAAAAGGUACUCCGGGGAUAACAGGCUGAUACCGCCCAAGAGUUCAUAUCGACGGCGGUGUUUGGCACCUCGAUGUCGGCUCAUCACAUCCUGGGGCUGAAGUAGGUCCCAAGGGUAUGGCUGUUCGCCAUUUAAAGUGGUACGCGAGCUGGGUUUAGAACGUCGUGAGACAGUUCGGUCCCUAUCUGCCGUGGGCGCUGGAGAACUGAGGGGGGCUGCUCCUAGUACGAGAGGACCGGAGUGGACGCAUCACUGGUGUUCGGGUUGUCAUGCCAAUGGCACUGCCCGGUAGCUAAAUGCGGAAGAGAUAAGUGCUGAAAGCAUCUAAGCACGAAACUUGCCCCGAGAUGAGUUCUCCCUGAGACUUUAGGUCUCCUGAAGGAACGUUGAAGACGACGACGUUGAUAGGCCGGGUGUGUAAGCGCAGCGAUGCGUUGAGCUAACCGGUACUAAUGAACCGUGAGGCUUAACCUU
rnacentral:rRNA from 1 species